rnacentral:tRNA from 1 species
GCUAGCGUAGCAUAACCUGGUAUUGCAAAAGACCUAAACUCUUUUAAUAGAGGCUCAAAUCCUCUCGCUAACU